rnacentral:rRNA from 1 species
AGAGUUUGAUCAUGGCUCAGAAUGAACGUUGGCGGCGUGGAUUAGGCAUGCAAGUCGAGCGAGAAUCCCUCGCAAGGGGGAGGACAGCGGCAAACGGGGUAGUAACGGGUAGGUGACGUACCCUCGGGUUGGGGAUAGCCACGGGAAACUGUGGGUAAUACCCAAUAAUCUCUUCGCACGUGAUGUGUGGAGAGCAAAGGUGUGAUUCCACCGGAGGAGCGGCCUGCCUCGUAUUAGCUUGUUGGUGAGGUAAUGGCUCACCAAGGCUUCGAUGCGUAGGGGGUGUGAGAGCACGACCCCCACCACUGGGACUGAGAUACUGCCCAGACACCUACGGGUGGCUGCAGUCGAGAAUCUUCGGCAAUGGGCGCAAGCCUGACCGAGCGACGCCGCGUGUGGGAUGAAGGCCCUUGGGUUGUAAACCACUGUCAGAGGGGAUGAAAUGCCAGCCAGUUAUCUGGUUGGUUUGACAUAGCCUCAGAGGAAGCACGGGCUAAGUUCGUGCCAGCAGCCGCGGUAAUACGAACUGUGCAAACGUUAUUCGGAAUCACUGGGCUUACAGGGUGCGUAGGCGGCUUGUUAAGUAGGGUGUGAAAUCCCCCGGCUCAACCGGGGAAUGGCGCCCUAAACUGUCGAGCUGGAGUGAGAUAGGGGUGUG